AUUACCCACUCCCAGCACGGGGAGGUAGUGACGAUAAAUAACGAUACGGGACUCAUCCGAGGCCCCGUAAUCGGAAUGAGUACACUUUAAAACUUUUUCCGAGUAUCAAUUGGAGGGUAAGUCUGGUGCCAGCAGCCGCGGUAAUUCCAGCUCCAAUAGCGUAUAUUAAAGUUGUUGCGGUUAAAAAGCUCGUAGUCUGAUUUGUGUCCCGCGCCGCUGGUUCAUCGCUCGCGGUGUUCAACUGGCGUGUCUCGCGGGACGUCCUGUCGGUGGGCUCUCGUAUCCUUGCGAUGCGAGUCCCUGGUCGUAGCCGCCUUGCGCGGUUGCGGUCCCCAUUGCGGUGCUCUUUAUUGAGUGUCUUGGUGGGUCGGCACUUUUACUUUGAACAAAUUAAAGUGCUUAAAGCAGGCCAAUUUGCCUGAAUAUUCGUGCAUGGAAUAAUGGAAUAGGACCUCGGUUCUAUUUUGCUGGUUUUCUGAACUCCGAGGUAAUGAUUAAGAGGAACGGAUGGGGGCAUUUGUAUUGUGACGUUAGAGGUGAAAUUCUUGGAUCGUCGCAAGACAGACCGAAGCGAAAGCGUUUGCCAAAAACGUUUUCAUUGAUCAAGAACGAAAGUUAGAGGAUCGAAGGCGAUCAGAUACCGCCCUAGUUCUAACCAUAAACGAUGCCAGCUAGCGAUCCGCCGACGUUCCUCCGAUGACUCGGCGGGCAGCUUCCGGGAAACCAAAGCUUUUGGGUUCCGGGGGAAGUAUGGUUGCAAAGCUGAAACUUAAAGGAAUUGACGGAAGGGCACCACCAGGAGUGGAGCCUGCGGCUUAAUUUGACUCAACACGGGACACCUCACCAGGCCCGGACACCGGAAGGAUUGACAGAUUGAUAGCUCUUUCUUGAUUCGGUGGGUGGUGGUGCAUGGCCG
rnacentral:rRNA from 1 species